rnacentral:rRNA from 1 species
GCAGUCGAGCGCCCCUUUCGGGGGGAGCGGCGGACGGGUGAGUAACGCGUGGGAACGUGCCCUUCUCUACGGAAUAGCCCCGGGAAACUGGGAUUAACGCCGUAUACGCCCUUCGGGGGAAAGAUUUAUCGGGGAAGGAUCGGCCCGCGUCUGAUUAGGUAGUUGGUGGGGUAACGGCCUACCAAGCCGACGAUCAGUAGCUGGUUUGAGAGGAUGAUCAGCCACACUGGGACUGAGACACGGCCCAGACUCCUACGGGAGGCAGCAGUGGGGAAUCUUAGACAAUGGGGGCAACCCUGAUCUAGCCAUGCCGCGUGAGUGACGAAGGCCCUAGGGUCGUAAAGCUCUUUCGCCGGGGAAGAUAAUGACGGUACCCGGAAAAGAAGUCCCGGCUAACUCCGUGCCAGCAGCCGCGGUAAUACGGAGGGGACUAGCGUUGUUCGGAAUUACUGGGCGUAAAGCGCGCGUAGGCGGAUUACUCAGUCAGGGGUGAAAUCCCGGGGCUCAACCCCGGAACUGCCCUUGAUACUGGUAGUCUGGAGUUCUGGAGAGGUGAGUGGAAUUCCGAGUGUAGAGGUGAAAUUCGUAGAUAUUCGGAGGAACACCAGUGGCGAAGGCGGCUCACUGGCCAGAUACUGACGCUGAGGUGCGAAAGUGUGGGGAGCAAACAGGAUUAGAUACCCUGGUAGUCCACACCGUAAACGAUGAAUGCCAGACGUCGGGCAUCAUGCUGUUCGGUGUCACACCUAACGGAUUAAGCAUUCCGCCUGGGGAGUACGGCCGCAAGAUAAAACUCAAAGGAAUUGACGGGGGCC